UACGUAGGGUGCAAGCGUUGUCCGGAAUUAUUGGGCGUAAAGAGCUCGUAGGCGGUCUGUUGCGUCGGCUGUGAAAACCCGGGGCUCAACUCCGGGCCUGCAGCCGAUACGGGCAGACUAGAGUUCGGCAGGGGAGACUGGAAUUCCUGGUGUAGCGGUGAAAUGCGCAGAUAUCAGGAGGAACACCGGUGGCGAAGGCGGGUCUCUGGGCCAUAACUGACGCUGAGAAGCGAAAGCAUGGGGAGCGAACAGG
rnacentral:rRNA from 1 species